UCUGGUUGAUCCUGCCAGUAGUCAUAUGCUUGUCUUAAAGAUUAAGCCAUGCAUGUCUAAGUAUAAAUAGUAUACAGUGAAACUGCGAAUGGCUCAUUAAAACAGUUAUAGUUUAUUUGAUAAUUGAAUUCUACAUGGAUAACCGUAGUAAUUCUAGAGCUAAUACAUGCUGUAAAACCUGACUUUUUGGAAAGGUUGUAUUUAUUAGAUAUCAAACCAAUAAUCUUUCGGGAUUAUUGUGAUGAUUCAUAAUAACUGAUCGGAUCAAGGAAUACCUUGAUAGAUCAUUCAAGUUUCUGCCCUAUCAGCUUUCGAUGGUAGUGUAUUGGACUACCAUGGCAGUCACGGGUAACGGAGAAUUAGGGUUCGAUUCCGGAGAGGGAGCCUGAGAAACGGCUACCACAUCUACGGAAGGCAGCAGGCGCGUAAAUUACCCAAUCCUGAUUCAGGGAGGUAGUGACAAGAAAUAACAACUCGGGGCCUCACGGCUUUCGAGAUUGCAAUGAGAACAAUUUAAAACACUUAACGAGGAACAAUUGGAGGGCAAGUCUGGUGCCAGCAGCCGCGGUAAUUCCAGCUCCAAUAGCGUAUAUUAAAGUUGUUGCAGUUAAAAAGCUCGUAGAUGAAUUUCUGGUUAUGAAUGUAUCGGUUUCCGAUGCAUUUGUAGCCAUCCACAUGAGAACCUUUCUCGGCCUUUACUGGUCGGUUGGGGGAUCAUGUACUUUACUUUGAAAAAAUCAGAGUGUUUCAGGCAGGCGUUUGCAUGAAUACACAAGCAUGGAAUAAUGGAAUAGGACUAGGGUCCAUUUUAUUGGUUAUUGGACCAUAGUAAUGAUUAAUAGGGACAGUUGGGGGCAUUAGUAUUUAAUUGUCAGAGGUGAAAUUCUUGGAUUUAUUAAAGACUAACUUAUGCGAAAGCAUUUGCCAAGGAUGUUUUCAUUAAUCAAGAACGAAAGUUAGGGGAUCAAAGACGAUCAGAUACCGUCCUAGUCUUAGCUAUAAACUAUACCGACUAGGGAUUGGUUGGGUCAUUAGAGCCCAAUCAGCACCUUAUGAGAAAUCGAAGUCUUUGGGUUCUGGGGGGAGUAUGGUCGCAAGGCUGAAACUUAAAGGAAUUGACGGAAGGGCACCACCAGGAGUGGAGCCUGCGGCUUAAUUUGACUCAACACGGGGAAACUUACCAGCGCAAAACAUGGGUGGGAUUGACAGAUUGAGAGCUCUUUCUUGAUUCUAUGGGUGGUGGUGCAUGGCCGUUCUUAGUUGGUGGAGUGAUUUGUCU
rnacentral:rRNA from 1 species